CGCGAAAAUUUGUACCGCAAUUCUGAAACCGAGUAGUGUUACUGAUCAUGAUAUUCGACUAUAACACUUUUAAGGAGGUUCAUUUUCAAAAGGUUUUAAGUAGAAAAAUCUUAAUUACUUAAAUAAUACGUUUUAUUAACCAAUCUAUUGGUGCAUAUUUGUACUACCUUCUAUAUCUAACUUCAGUUCUCUACACUUUUGUGUAUUUUGGAGAAAGUAUUUAUCAACAAUACAAGCUAGAUACUUCCCUGAUAAGUAAUCUCAUCAAGACCUCAAUUUAUCCAGAUACUCAUAUGAAUAUAAGGCUUAAUGUUAUGUAGAAAUAUAAAAUAGAUAAUUAUGUAAUAUAUACAACACUGUCCUAAUUAAAAACACUACCAUUGGUAAUCCACGUGUCGUCGAUCUCAAAGGUUUUAUUGAAUUCUUGAUUGAAAUUAAACAAAAGAUACAUUAGCUGAACAUCAAUUUCUGUUGACUGCAUCCGAAAAGCGUUAAGACAUCUAGCUUUAUUAUAAUGUUUAGACUAUUCAAACCAUGCUAACAUAGCUUUAUAUAUCAGUAUUAAACCCAAAAAAUGGAUCGUAUCAUAAUUAUCAGAGUUGUCUCUCCUUUGACAUUAGACGAUGAUAAAAUGUUUUACUAAAUAUUUUACUAUGAGGAUAAUUUCAAAAGUUGUUUUUCAGGGCGGGU
rnacentral:lncRNA from 1 species